rnacentral:lncRNA from 1 species
GUUCGACUGAUGAUGAGCUGAAAGAUCUCGGGCAAGAUGCAGCCUCCAGGAUUGACCUCUUCAUCUGGAAAUGGAGGGGACCACCUACUUUAGAGGACUGGGGAUCAAACUCAGGACCUUGCGCUUGGGAGGCAGGUGAGGUGCCACUGAACUAAAUCCCUGGCCCUAUUAUUUGAUUUCUUGAUGAUUUACCUCAGACAGAGGACUAAUAUCUGGA